UCUCAGAGCUCAGUUGGUAGAGAAUCUGUCUGCAAUGCAGGAGACCCUGGUUUGAUUCCUGGGUUGGGAA
rfam:Ovis aries breed Texel chromosome 17, whole genome shotgun sequence.